AUGAAAAAAAAGAAAGCAUUGCCUUCUUUACUAUAUCUUGUAUUUAUCGUACUUUUGCCUUGGGGGGUCUCUUCCUCAUUUAACAAAUGUCUGGAACUUUGGAUUAAGAAUUGGUGGAAUACCAGGCAAUCCGAAACUCUCUUAACUGAUAUUCAAGAGAAAAGGAUUCUGGAAAGAUUCAUAGAAUUAGAAGAACUUUCUCUCUUGGACGAGAUGAUAAAAGGGAAACUAAAGACACAUGUACAAAAACCUCCUACAGGAAUACACAAGGAAAUAAUACAAUGGGUCAAAAUAAAUAAUGAGGAUCAUCUCCAUACCAUUUUGCAUUUCUCGACAAAUAUAAUCUGUUUGGCUAUUCUAAGUGGUUCUUUUUUUCUGGGUAAAGAGGAACUUGUCAUUUUGAAUUCUUGGGUUCAGGAAUUCUUCUAUAAUUUAAAUGACUCAAUAAAAGCUUUUUUUAUUCUUUUAGUUACUGAUUUUUUUGUUGGAUUUCACUCCACCCGUGGUUGGGAACUAGUAAUUCGUUGGGUCUACAACGAUUUUGGAUGGGCUCCUAACGAGCUUAUUUUCACUAUUUUUGUUUGUAGUUUUCCAGUAAUUCUAGAUACAUGUUUGAAAUUUUGGGUCUUUUUUUGUUUAAACCGUNNNNNNNNNNACUUUGGAUUAAGAAUUGGUGGAAUACCAGGCAAUCCGAAACUCUCUUAA
rnacentral:rRNA from 1 species